rnacentral:rRNA from 1 species
GGGGAAUCUUGCGCAAUGGGCGAAAGCCUGACGCAGCAACGCCGCGUGGAGGAUGAAGGCCCUUGGGUUGUAAACUCCUGUCGGCUGGGAAGAAAUCAUACGGUGCUCAUACCACCGUAUGUUGACUGUACCAGCAAAGGAAGCCCCGGCUAACUCUGUGCCAGCAGCCGCGGUAAUACGAAGGGUGCAAACGUUGCUCGGAAUUAUUGGGCGUAAAGCGCACGUAGGCGGCUUUGCAAGUCGGAUGUGAAAUCCCUCGGCUUAACCAAGGAAGUGCAUCCGAAACUGCAGAGCUUGAGUACUUAAGAGGAUCGCGGAAUUCCCGGUGUAGAGGUGAAAUUCGUAGAUAUCGGGAGGAACACCAGUGGCGAAGGCGGCGAUCUGGGAAGAUACUGACGCUGAGGUGCGAAAGCGUGGGGAGCAAAC